rnacentral:tRNA from 1 species
GGGUUAGUGGUCUAGUGGUAUGAUUCUCGCUUUGGGUGCGAGAGGUCCGGGCUUCGAUUCCCCCUGGUUCC